rnacentral:tRNA from 1 species
GGGGAGUUGCAUGAACUGGUAAAUGGUCCGGCUGUAACCCGGAAGCACCACGAGGUUGGGGGUUCGAAUCCCUCGCUCCCCACCA